rnacentral:rRNA from 1 species
AUUGAACGCUGGCGGCAUGCCUUACACAUGCAAGUCGAACGGCAGCGCGGGAGCAAUCCUGGUGGCGAGUGGCGAACGGGUGAGUAAAGUAUCGGAACGUGCCCAGUCGUGGGGGAUAACGUAGCGAAAGUUACGCUAAUACCGCAUACGAUCUAUGGAUGAAAGCAGGGGAUCGCAAGACCUUGCGCGAUUGGAGCGGCCGAUAUCAGAUUAGGUAGUUGGUGGGGUAAAGGCUCACCAAGCCGACGAUCUGUAGCUGGUCUGAGAGGACGACCAGCCACACUGGGACUGAGACACGGCCCAGACUCCUACGGGAGGCAGCAGUGGGGAAUUUUGGACAAUGGGCGAAAGCCUGAUCCAGCCAUGCCGCGUGCAGGAUGAAGGCCUUCGGGUUGUAAACUGCUUUUGUACGGAACGAAAAGGUUUGGGCUAAUAAGCUGAGCUCAUGACGGUACCGUAAGAAUAAGCACCGGCUAACUACGUGCCAGCCGCCGCCGUAA